CCCUUAGAUGUUCGGGGCCGCACACGCGCUACAUUGAAUGGAUCAACGUGCGUCUAGCCUUGCCCGAAAGGGCUGGGAAACCCGUUGAAACCCAUUCGUGAUAGGGAUUGGGGCUUGCAAUUAUUUCCCAUAAACGAGGAAUUCCUAGUAAGCGCGAGUCAUCAGCUCGCGUUGAUUGCGUCCCUGCCCUUUGUACACACCGCCCGUCGCUCCUACCGAUUGAAUGGUCCGGUGAAGCGUUCGGACCGUGGCCUUUGGACGGUUCGCCGUCUGUUGGCUGCGGGAAGUUCGUUAAACCUUAUCAUUUAGAGGAAGGAGAAGUCGUAACA
rnacentral:rRNA from 1 species